UUUAUUUUUGGCUUAGUAUAAAUUUUGAUACAUUUUGAUUUGCUAAUAAGUUUUGGGUAACUCUUUCCAUCUUAAGACUUUUAUGAUUUUGUGGCAACACAUUAAGUUUGUUUUCUUUCACUGAACAUACCACCAUUAAUUUGCGUGUGGCAUCACUGUUAGCUACAGACAACUAGCCUGGUCGCGUACUACAGGCUUUAGUCUGAAAUUGUACGAAGUCGUAUGCUUUCACACAUUAAUCAUGUAUUUUGCGAACAAUUUCUCACUAAAUCGGGCAGUGCGGGAACAGGGUAAUAUUGUCGUUCCUUUUCCUUUUUGUGUUUGAAGCUGUGGGCGUGGGACUGGGCUAACAAUUUAAUCCAGAUUAAUCUAGGAAUUUUGGUGAUAUGUUUCCUCUGAACGCCGCGGCAACACUGACAACGGCGAAGAUGUACGCGAGAGCUUUAAAAAUUUCUUCGUGAGCUUACUCUGCACAUUUUCUUAGUGUACUACGAUGCAAUAAUGGUGAACAGAAGUACAACAAAGGCAAAUGAUGAUGAAAAAUAAACUACUUUAUUUUUUAAAUGCAGCAAAAGCAAAAGCAGUGGG